UACAGAGGUGGCAAGCGUUGUUCGGAAUUACUGGGCGUAAAGGGCGCGUAGGCGGUCCUCUAAGUCUUGUGUGAAAUCCCUCGGCUCAACUGAGGAACUGCACGGGAUACUGGAAGACUUGAGUUCGGGAGAGGGAAGCGGAAUUCCGGGUGUAGCGGUGAAAUGCGUAGAUAUCCGGAGGAACACCGGUGGCGAAGGCGGUUUCCUGGACCGACACUGACGCUGAGGCGCGAAAGCUAGGGGAGCAAACGGG
rnacentral:rRNA from 1 species